GAUGAACGCUGGCGGCGUGCCUAAUACAUGCAAGUCGAGCGAACGGACGAGAAGCUUGCUUCUCUGAUGUUAGCGGCGGACGGGUGAGUAACACGUGGAUAACCUACCUAUAAGACUGGGAUAACUUCGGGAAACCGGAGCUAAUACCGGAUAAUAUUUUGAACCGCAUGGUUCAAAAGUGAAAGACGGUCUUGCUGUCACUUAUAGAUGUAUCCGCGCUGCAUUAGCUAGUUGGUAAGGUAACGGCUUACCAAGGCAACGAUGCAUAGCCGACCUGAGAGGGUGAUCGGCCACACUGGAACUGAGACACGGUCCAGACUCCUACGGGAGGCAGCAGUAGGGAAUCUUCCGCAAUGGGCGAAAGCCUGACGGAGCAACGCCGCGUGAGUGAUGAAGGUCUUCGGAUCGUAAAACUCUGUUAUUAGGGAAGAACAUAUGUGUAAGUAAAUGUGCACAUCUUGACGGUACCUAAUCAGAAAGCCACGGCUAACUACGUG
rnacentral:rRNA from 1 species